CAGCCGACUCUUUUGGAUAAACUAACACAGCCUUUUCCCUUAAGGCCAGCCAGACUCUUAAGCCUGGGUAGUCUGACUUGACUGUGGAGUCUGGGAUGGAACUGACUCACUGCCACAGUUCUGGUUUCUCACCCCAUGGAAUGAGCAUUGUUGAGGCUCCUCCAGUGAUAAAUGACAGAUGAGGAAACAUGAGCUUUUGAUGAGCUGUCCCGAAGCCCCUCUCUCCUGGUCCUCCCACAAAAUACCGUGACAACCUAACAUUUUCUUUAAGUCCACAUCUCCACCCGCUGACGUCCACUGCUGAACAAGAACUAAGGCCCCACCCCUGUGGAGGAUGGUAACGUCAGGCUGAGCCCAAGAUUCCUGGAGUCUCACCCUGUUACCUCAUCACCAACCAAUCAGAAGAAAGUCUGCACACACUGGAAGAAAACGGAAGACUCUGACUUUCUCCCCAAAUGAUUCUCCCUUUAAGAACGUUCACAGUCCAGCAGAAUCUUUGGAGUUGGUUUUUGGACAAUAGUCUGUUUUCUCUCCAGGUUGCUUUCCAGGUUGCUGGCCUCCUGAAUAAAGAAAC